CCUACGGGCGGCAGCAGUGUGGAAUAUUGGACAAUGGGCGAAAGCCUGAUCCAGCCAUGCCGCGUGUGUGAAGAAGGCCUUCGGGUUGUAAAGCACUUUCAGCGGGGAAGAAAGCCUUGGGGCUAAUACCCUCGAGGAAGGACAUCACCCACAGAAGAAGCACCGGCUAACUCCGUGCCAGCAGCCGCGGUAAUACGGAGGGUGCGAGCGUUAAUCGGAAUUACUGGGCGUAAAGCGCGCGUAGGCGGUCUGAUAAGCCGGUUGUGAAAGCCCCGGGCUCAACCUGGGAACGGCAUCCGGAACUGUCAGGCUAGAGUGCAGGAGAGGAAGGUAGAAUUCCCGGUGUAGCGGUGAAAUGCGUAGAGAUCGGGAGGAAUACCAGUGGCGAAGGCGGCCUUCUGGACUGACACUGACGCUGAGGUGCGAAAGCGUGGGUAGCAAACAGGAUUAGAUACCCCAGUAGUC
rnacentral:rRNA from 1 species